GUCGAGCGGGGUUACUGUGGUGGAACCCUUCGGGGUGAAACUGCUUUAACCUAGCGGCGGACGGGUGAGUAACGCGUGGGUAACCUGCCCUAAAGACCGGGAUAACAGCGGGAAACCGCUGCUAAUACCGGAUACCUUUACUGGGGGGCAUCCUCUGGUAAAGAAAGGAGCAAUCCGCUUUAGGAUGGGCCCGCGUCCCAUUAGCUAGUUGGUGAGGUAACGGCUCACCAAGGCGACGAUGGGUAGCCGGCCUGAGAGGGUGAACAGCCACACUGGGACUGAGACACGGCCCAGACUCCUACGGGAGGCAGCAGUAGGGAAUCUUGCGCAAUGGGCGAAAGCCUGACGCAGCGACGCCGCGUGAGCGAAGAAGGCCUUCGGGUCGUAAAACUCUGUCCUCAGGGAAGAAGGAAGUGACGGUACCUGAGGAGGAAGCCCCGGCUAACUACGUGCCAGCAGCCGCGGUAAUACGUAGGGGGCGAGCGUUGUCCGGAAUUACUGGGCGUAAAGGGUGCGUAGGCGGCCCUUUAAGUCGGGUGUGAAAGUCCACGGCUUAACCGUGGGAUUGCACUCGAAACUGGAGGGCUUGAGUGUCGGAGAGGGUAGUGGAAUUCCCGGUGUAGCGGUGAAAUGCGUA
rnacentral:rRNA from 1 species